rnacentral:rRNA from 1 species
UACGUAGGGUGCGAGCGUUGUCCGGAAUUAUUGGGCGUAAAGGGCUCGUAGGCGGUCUGUUACGUCGGGAGUGAAAACUCAGGGCUCAACCCUGAGCCUGCUUCCGAUACGGGCAGACUAGAGGUAUGCAGGGGAGAAUGGAAUUCCUGGUGUAGCGGUGAAAUGCGCAGAUAUCAGGAGGAACACCGGUGGCGAAGGCGGUUCUCUGGGCAUUACCUGACGCUGAGGAGCGAAAGCCAGGGGAGCAAACGGG